GCUGGGGUAGCCAAGUCAGGUCCAAGGCGCCAGCUUGGAGAGCUGGUGAGCUUCGGCUCGCGUGGGUUCAAACCACCCCCUACG
rnacentral:tRNA from 2 species